UCCUUCCCUAGUACGAGAGGACCGGGAAGGACGCACCUCUGGCGUACCAGUUAUCGUGCCUACGGUAAACGCUGGGUAGCCAAGUGCGGAGAGGAUAACUGCUGAAAGCAUAUAAGUAGUAAGCCCA
rnacentral:ncRNA from 1 species